rnacentral:ncRNA from 1 species
AGGCUCGUAGCGAUUCUGACGUGCAAAUCGAUCGUCAAAUUUGGGUAUAGGGGCGAAAGACUAAUCGAACUGUCUAGUAGCUGGUUCCCUCCGAAGUUUCCCUCAGGAUAGCUGGAACUUACGGCAGUUUUAUUAAGUAAAGCGAAUGAUUAGAGGUCUUAGGGUUAAAACAACCUUAACCUAUUCUCAAACUUUAAAUUGGUAAGAAGUCCGACUUGCUUAAUUGAAGCCGGACAGUGAAUGCGAGUUCCUAGUGAGCCAUUUUUGGUAAGCAGAACUGGCGAUGCGGGAUGAACCGAACGCGCGGUUAAGGUGCCAAAGUCGACGCUCAUCAGACCCCACAAAAGUUGUUGGUUGCUCUAGACAGCAGGACGGUGGCCAUGGAAGUUGGAAUCCGCUAAGGAGUGUUUAACAACUCACCUGCCGAAGCAACUAGCCCUGAAAAUGGAUGGCGCUCAAGCGUCGCACCUAUACCGUGCCGUCGGAGCAGAUGCGAAGCUCCGACGAGUAGGAGGGCGUGGGGGUCGUGACGCAGCCUCUGGCGCGAGCCUGGGUGAAACGGCCUCCAGUGCAGAUCUUGGUGGUAGUAGCAAAUAUUCAAAUGAGAGCUUUGAAGACCGAAGUGGGGAAAGGUUCCAUGUGAACAGCAGUUGGACAUGGGUUAGUCGAUCCUAAGAGAUAGUGAAAUUCCGUUUGCAAGCGCCCGAUCUUGGGCCGCCUAUCGAAAGGGAAUCGGGUUAAUAUUCCCGAACCGGGACGCGGAUAUUGCCGUUCGCGGCAGAUGCGGUAACGCAAACGAACCCGAAGACGCUGGCGGGGGCCCUGGGAAGAGUUCUCUUUUCUUUUUAACGAGCUUUCACCCUGAAAUCAGCUUGCCUGGAGAUAGGGUUUAAUGCUCGGUAAAGCACCACACUUCUUGUGGUGUCCGGUGCGCUCUCGACGGCCCUUGAAAAUUCGGGGAAGACAUUGAUUUUCGUGUCCGGUCGUACUCAUAACCGCAGCAGGUCUCCAAGGUGAGCAGCCUCUGGUUGAUAGAACAAUGUAGGUAAGGG